rnacentral:lncRNA from 9 species
AUGUCUUACGUUCUCCCUCUAAGGGAAAAUGAGGUGAGGGGCGUGCCACGCACACCUGAGUUUUCAUCAGUACCGCGCACAAGACAGCUGCCGGUUUCACAUUGGAUCUUAGGAAUAAACAGAUAUUUUUAUUUCAGGGAGGCGAGCACUUAUUUCCUUUCCUCCCUCCUUCUUUCCUUCCACCUCUUUGGACACAGGGCAGAGACACAGUGGGUCCUGGCUUGGGCUGCGACAGCCAGGCUGCCCACCUUCCACAUGCUGGACCAACAGCUCUCUGCAUCUCUGCAGGGGUCACACCUGGGGACAGGUGGGGGGAGAGCAAACGGAGCAGGACCAGCUGCUGGACCACCAUACCCCCAACUGAGGAGUGCCGACUCACCAAGAAGAGGAUUGAACAAAGCCCAGGAGACCACUUUAUAGUUAGAUUAUAUGGCUCAGAAUGAAUAUAUAAUUUUAAUGACUCUCCAGUGAUCAGACAACAGAGCUUAAAAAAAGGCAACAAAGUGAAAAAAAAAGAAAGAAGGAAAUUGCUAGAAACACUUUUAUAAACACACGAAGUGAAUAUAAAAGUGUAUAUAAAAGUGAAAACACUGAUGUUUUGCUGGAAAGAUGCAAAUGACGCCAAUGGAUUUGAUAAGAAAUAGAAAAUCAGGAAAGAACUCUUAAAAUGUUUGAAGUUAACAAAAACCUAUCUUCAAUAAUGUUGCUGUAGCAAGGUAAUUUUACAAAUCAUUAUUUUGAAAACUUUAAGGAACAAAUGUUGCUAUUAAACAAUGUAAGAGUCUCAAAGAUGCAAACACUUGACUAAAAUAUUACUAAUAUUGUCUAUUCCCUGGUAGCCUAGUCCAAUAAUAAUCCACCAAGUCUAAGUGAUUUUAUGGCUGGUAUGUAAGGAUGAUUUAACAUAAGUGCAACUAUUCUGUAAUUCUUGAAUGAAUAAAUAGGUGAAGGUAGAAAGUAUUUUUGAUAAGUUUUUGGGUUUUUUUGCUGUUGUUGUCUUUUUAGGGCCACACCUGCACAUUAAGGAAGUUCCCAGGCUAGGGGUUGAAUCCGAGCUACAACUGCUGGCCUACACCACAGCCACAGCAAUGCCAGAUCCGAGCCUCAUCUUCAACCUACACCACAGCUCUCGACAAUGCCAGAGCAUUAACCCACUGAGUGAGGGCAGGGAUCAAACCUGCAUCCUCUCGGAUCCUAGUCGGGUUCGUUAACCACUGAGCCAUGAAGGGAACUCC